AGCCUCAACCCUCACAUUCUU
rnacentral:misc_RNA from 1 species